GAUGAACGCUGGCGGCGUGCCUAAUACAUGCAAGUCGAGCGAACAGACGAGGAGCUUGCUCCUCUGACGUUAUCGGCGGACGGGUGAGUAACACGUGGAUAACCUACCUAUAAGACUGGGAUAACUUCGGGAAACCGGAGCUAAUACCGGAUAAUAUAUUGAACCGCAUGGUUCAAUAGUUAAAGACGGUUUUGCUGUCACUUAUAGAUGGAUCCGCGCCGCAUUAGCUAGUUGGUAAGGUAACGGCUUACCAAGGCAACGAUGCGUAGCCGACCUGAGAGGGUGAUCGGCCACACGGGAACUGAGACACGGUCCAGACUCCUACGGGAGGCAGCAGUAGGGAAUCUUCCGCAAUGGGCGAAAGCUUGACGGAGCAACGCCGCGUGAGUGAUGAAGGUCUUCGGAUCGUAAAACUCUGUUAUUAGGGAAGAACAAAUGUGUAAGUAACUAUGCACGUCUUGACGGUACCUAAUCAGAAAGCCACGGCUAACUACGUG
rnacentral:rRNA from 1 species